rnacentral:rRNA from 1 species
ACGUACACUCCUACGGGAGGCAGCAGUGGGGAAUUUUGGACAAUGGGGGCAACCCUGAUCCAGCAAUGCCGCGUGAGUGAAGAAGGCCUUCGGGAUGUCAAGCUCUUUUGUCAGGGAAGAAACGGUAGUAGCGAAUAACUAUUACUAAUGACGGUACCUGAAGAAUAAGCACCGGCUAACUACGUGCCAGCAGCCGCGGUAAUACGUAGGGUGCAAGCGUUAAUCGGAAUUACUGGGCGUAAAGCGUGCGCAGGCGGUUGUGUAAGUCAGAUGUGAAAUCCCCGGGCUCAACCUGUGAAUUGCAUUUGAGACUGCACGGCUAGAGUGUGUCAGAGGGGUGUAGAAUUCCACGUGUAGCAGUGAAAUGCGUAGAUAUGUGGAGGAAUACCGAUUGCGAAGGCAGCCCCCUGGGAUAACACUGACGCUCAUGCACGAAAGCGUGGGGAGCAAACAGGAUGAGAAACCCGGGUAGUCCCAU